GUGAAAAUGUAAUUUUCCAAACCUCCCAAUCUCAGAUCUGCUAUCAGCCAGUGAUAAGCUGGAAAGCCGUUUUCUAGGAUCCCCAUUCAGGAAUAGAAGUUCUGGCUCCUGAUUAAUCGUUUUCUGCUCUCCCUUCGAUGGCCUGUGAUAAAAAAGCAAACAAAAUUCAAAUCUCCGCCGUGGAAAAACCCUGGAGUGUGUGAAUUAAAUAUGAACAAAAGCUGCCAUAUAGAUAGACGGGUGGGCUGCAGAUGAGGCAGACAAGUUAGAAAUGUAUUUUAAGAUGUGGACAGACAGGGAAAUAAACAGAUCGACUGGCAGCGGCAGAGACAGGAAGACAUUAACGCGGCGAAAGGAAAACCGGCAGAGCGACACCCAGACGACGGGGCACUGGGAGGGAGGCAGACAGUUUGACAGACCCGAAGAGACGGACAUGCAGGCAGGCAGACAGACAGACAGCUGCGAAGGUCGACAGGCUCGCAUACAGUGAGACAGCGUUACCCUGGCAACGGACAGCUGAUCAGUCAUUCACAGACCGCAGAGCUCAGUUCAGUCAAUCUUUAUUGUCCCCAGGGGAUAAUUAGGGAGGGCAAACAGGCAUACACAUGGGCAGACAGACAGGACGACGGGGACAGACAGACAGAUGGACAUGUAGAGGUACCCUGACUCAAUGCACUGCUGGACACUCAACGCACACUCCUCCCGCUGUAGCCAUGCUGCACGCCACGCUGGUGUUGUCAUAACAACUGAGAUUUAAAUCCCACUUGGUUUUGAGAGGCAACUGCGAUGGCUGGAAGCAGAUCACAUCCCGAAGGUUGCCCUGAGACGGACUGCUCCUGGCAAAAGAAAACCUAGAAGACCAAAUAUAACCUAAUGCAGAACUGUAAAGGAUGAACCAGCAAUAGAGAACAAUGAAAAGAACUCACUGUGACCUUAUGUGUCACAGGGAACAAAGAGAAUUAAGGAAGUGAGUCAGCAGCGCAACUGGGAACAUCUGGCUGCAGCUACCAGCUCUCUCUCUCUCUGCUCCUCCCUACAGGCAUCCAUUUUGGUUUGGGUCAUGUUGCCUUAGUUUCUUUUUCAGCACUUUUACAACAUCCACAUACAUCUUUCACCCAUGCACACCACUGACUCUACUGAUAUCCAC